rnacentral:rRNA from 1 species
UGGUGGAGUGAUUUGUCUGGUUAAUUCCGUUAACGAACGAGACCCCUGCCUGCUAAAUAGUUUGUCGAGUGAUUUUUCACUGGAUGAAACUUCUUAGAGGGACGUGCACUCUUUAAAUGCAGGAAGAUAGGGGCAAUAACA